rnacentral:rRNA from 1 species
CACGUAGGGGGCGAGCGUUGUCCGGAUUCAUUGGGCGUAAAGGGCGCGCAGGCGGCCCGGAAAGUCGGAUGUGAAAACUCGAGGCUCAACCUCGAGACGCCGAUGGAAACCAUGUGGCUAGAGUCCGGAAGAGGAGAGUGGAAUUCCUGGUGUAGCGGUGAAAUGCGCAGAUAUCAGGAGGAACACCUGUGGCGAAAGCGGCUCACUGGACCAUAACUGACGCUGAUGCACGAGAGCUAGGGGAGCAAACAGG